rnacentral:rRNA from 1 species
CACCUACGGGGCGCAGCAGUGGGGAAUAUUGCACAAUGGGGGAAACACUGAUGCAGCAACGCCGCGUGAAGGAAGACGGUUUUCGGAUUGUAAACUUCUAUCAAUAGGGAAGAAAGAAAUGACGGUACCUAAAUAAGAAGAACCGGCUAACUACGUGCCAGCAGCCGCGGUAAUACGUAGGGGGCAAGCGUUAUCCGGAUUUACUGGGUGUAAAGGGAGCGUAGGUGGCAGGGCA